CAGAGUUGCAAAACUCCCAACCCUUUGUGAACGUACUGAAAAGUUGCUUCGGCGGGAGGCUCCUCAGGGAGCGGACCGCCGGAGGAAUCCAAACUCUUGUUUUUUUUUGGCAUCUCUGAGUAGCUUAUAAAUAAGUUUA
rnacentral:misc_RNA from 1 species